UACAGAGGUCUCGAGCGUUAGUCGGAGUCACUGGGCUUAAAGCGUACGUAGGCGGAUAUGCAGGCGUCGUGUGAAAUCCCUCGGCUCAACCGGGGAACUGCACGGCGAACCGCAUGUCUUGAGAUCGGUAGGGGCUGUCGGAACGAUAGGUGGAGUGGUGAAAUGCGUUGAUAUCUAUCGGAACGCCGAAGGUGAAGACAGGCAGCUGGGCCGAUUCUGACGCUGAGGUACGAAAGCGUGGGGAGCGAACGGG
rnacentral:rRNA from 1 species